CAGCUGGAAUAAAGAGAGAUAUCGGGGGAAAGCCGCGAGAAGGCCAGCGUCCCUCGCUGGGAGCAGAGCUAGCCGAGUAGGGCGCCCGGCUGUCAAACUGGCCGGCGCAGUGCACGCUGGGCCGCCCCGGAGCGAUCGCAGAGCCCGUCGGGAGUCGUAGUCCCGGACGGGCCCGCGGCAUCGUCCGCGACGCAGCUCGGGAUCCGGGUCGGGGUGUCGGCCGGGUUGCUGCCGGGCACCGUCGAGCGUUAGCCACCCAGCAUUGAGCUGCCAGCGGCUGUUCUCCCUAAGCACCCUCGCUCACGUCGCCUCGCCUCGCCUGACCGGCCGCAGCCUUGGAUACCAGCCUUAAAUCGAGCCGACUACGGCCCAGCCCCGCCCGCGGCGAGGUGCGCGGGGUUCGGUGCGAGCCCCUCGCCCCUGGCCGGGCCAGCCUCUUGAUGCACCGGGGACGGGCGCGCCCAUCCGACUCUUCGAGGGGCGGCAGGGCCCCAUCUGUGUCUUUCGCUCUCGAGCCCCCAGCUAGAGUUGGCUUCAGCGGAAUACCUACUGUGCGGGAUUAUUCAACAAGCCGAUUGAUCACAUUCUUCAGCUCUAGCAGUGCAAAGGCUUCACUGAAAAAGAACAUUACAACUUUUUUGAAAGAAAUUUGGGGAAUCCACUGAAGACCUACAUUUCCCGGAAGGUUAACAGCCCCCUUCUCAGUUUUCCUGCUGCUCCUAUCAGUGACAAAUCAGUGUAUUAGAACAUGCAUGCUGGCUGAUCAUUCUGAUCAAGUCAACAAGCUUCACAACUUACUCAAUGAGGUCGUCCGUGAGAACUUCACUGUUUUACGAGGACAGGAGCUACUUCUUUGCUGAACUGCAUCACGGUUUCAACUGCUGAGGUUUUCUUCAAGCUUUUGCAUUGUUUGGAAUGUGAAAGGCACGGCCGAGACACACUUUGAGGUUCCCACUGCAUUGUUACACCUCCCCCCUCACUUCAGGGCCAGGUAACACCAAGAAGGACGCCAUGAGAGCGAAGGCCGUUGGGUCACCGCCCUUUGCUCUCGCGCUGCGCGUCUCCCUGCCAUCAACCGCCGCAACUGGCGCUGGGAGCGGUUGAGGGCGGCCGGCCUCGCGCUGGAACCUCGCCCGCCUCAAGGCUCCUGCGGCGGCGCACAGGGCAGGCCAGGAGCCCGCCCUAGGAGGGCCCCGCUGGAGAUGUGGAAAUGGAGGGACGCGGCACCUGGGUGCUUCCUGGGGCCAGACAACGCCCCCUCAUUGGAACCUCCAUGACCGUGCCUCUGAGAAACCAGCGCGUCCGCAACGAUCACUCCUAAUUUUCGGAUUCCUAUCAUCUGUCUCCACGUGAUAACACUGAAGAGCCUUCACAUUGAUGCAGGCCCAGGGCCUCAAGUGCAGAGUCUGAGAGCUCUGCAGGACACAGCAUGGAGCCGCCAUUCCUCUACUGGGUGGAGGAGCAUGUGUCCUCUGAACAGGGGAUCCAAGCCCUGAGAUGUUCUUUCUCAGCUGUCAGUGCGGCCCAGGACUUUCUGUGGGGAUGCUCAGACAGCAGGGGCCGGAGGACUUUUAGCCACCACCUCCCAUGGCCAGUCUUCACAAAUUACCUUUGGCUAAUUUGACUGUCUCUCCUCCUGGGGUCUAGGACUUCAAACAUGUACAGAAGCGAUUGCAGAAUUAAGACAAGACACUUCCACAAUAUAUUUUUUGUAUCACUGGCUCAGAAAAAGACUCAUUCAAAUCCUGUAUCAAAGCCACAUGUGAGAAUCUUGAGAAAGCAUCAGCUGACUGACUUGACAAGGGAGGAAGCAACCAAAAAUUCUGCGCUUCUUCAGUAUCUGAGUAUGAUAUUUUGCUUCAACAUCCCUCUUAGAUGAAGUUAUUGAUUGAAAAUCAUUUAAGUUUGCCCCAUGGUAAAAGAUCAAGUCCUCAGAAAGAUCUCCAAAGUGUUUACAGUUUGUUUUGUUUUGGUAAGUUUACCAUGAUUUUGCUUGAAUUGCUCUCCGUUGAUCUUCUCAGCUAAGAUGGAGGUAGAGUUGCACAGUGGAAGAGGGCUGCAUGUAAGAAGGCAGUUCUGUCUCAGAGGACAAAAGGCCUGGGAGCACCCAGACAGACAGUCACUGCAUGGAGGUCACUCCCCUCCCAGUGGCCACUGUGGAGACAUUUCACAGAAAUGCUUGCUGGACCAUUCAGGUUCAGAGUUGGGACAAAACCGAGAACUCAUGGGGAUAUUGGACAGGAGUUAGGAAAUGACCUUCUCACACAACUGGGGCAGUGGGGGAGAACCCUGGGCUUGAGACUUGCAAUCCACCACUUGCCCCUGCCCCUGCCCCUGCAGUGUGGCCGCUGUUACAUUUUCCUGCAACUCUGCCUUCUUGAGUCCAAGUGUCUUCGAAAGGGCAAAUGCUUCGUAAGUGCCGACAGGGUGUGUUUCAGUGAAUGUUUGCAGUGUGCACCGGUCUGGCUGAAGGCCUCUUCCCUUCCCCAACACCCUCCCAUCGUGCAAAAUUACCCUGCCCAGCAGGGAGUGAUUUGUGUGUCUCAGAAGAUUUUGUUGCUGUGCUCUGAGUUCUCACUCCUCAUCUCCUUUGACCAGUUUCUUCUAAUACUCCCCUUGUUCACAACACAGAACAUGAGUGCUCUUUCCUAUCAUUUUGAUACUAAUAAACGGACAGUGAUUCUCAGUGUGGAAAUGAGAAUGAAGCUUUUUUUAAAGACAGGCUACAAUAAUUCCCAUGCAGAGAACCACAUGCCAUGACACUGGAUUCCAAACAGCAAGAACGUAUGGUGAAGACGAGGCCAACAGUGAGCUGAGAGAGGCCAGCCAGGGUGUGUUUCAGUGAAGAUGAGAAACAAUCAGAUAACACCUGUUUCCUCCAGGAAAGAAAAUGUGGCCAGGGAAAAGAGAUGGGAGGAAGGCUGGUCAUUGCCUAUUCCACUGUGCACAGUUUGAAUUUGGAGCCAUGAAAAGUAUUGCUUGGUUAAAUUAAAAUCAUUCAAAAGAUAAAACAUAAACAUUUAACACCAGCACAAUAUGCUGGGAAACAAAAUGAAAGGAUUUCUGGUCUCGGUGCUGUAGGUCACAUAGCCACUCUUUCCUGGAUUGAGGCUUUCCAGCAAAGGGGCUGGGACGUAAGGCUGGCCUGCUGGUGUGGACAGAGAUUCCAGCAACAUGCAUGACCUGGGGGUACAAGGAUUGCUUCCUAAACAAUGAUAAGCACACAGCCACCUAAUAGUCUGGAUCGGCUGAGACCAUCCUGAUUUCAAACA
rnacentral:lncRNA from 1 species